rnacentral:rRNA from 1 species
UACGUAGGUGGCAAGCGUUGUCCGGAUUUACUGGGUGUAAAGGGUGCGCAGGCGGGAGAUCAAGUCAGACGUGAAAACUAUGGGCUUAACCCAUAACGUGCGUUUGAAACUGGUUUUCUUGAGUGAAGUAGAGGUAGGCGGAAUUCCGAGUGUAGCGGUGAAAUGCGUAGAUAUUCGGAGGAACACCAGUGGCGAAGGCGGCCUACUGGGCUUUUACUGACGCUGAGGCACGAAAGUAUGGGGAGCAAACAGGAUUAGAUACC